ACAUGACAAGAUGCGCCUUUGGACAUCUCGUGCCAUCGUAUUUUUCGAAAUCAGGCACCUUGAACUUCGGAGGCAGAACUAGAUCAGGCACCAAACUGAGCUCUUUGGCACUUAGUGCAGAAAAGGCUUCAGUACCCUCUAUUGCUUUGAGUCUUUCCUCUAAGCUCCUAUACUUCUCUUGAGCCUCGUGAUCGUCCGUUCUCAACCU
rnacentral:lncRNA from 1 species